rnacentral:piRNA from 1 species
UGAGUCUUUGGUAUUUUUCCU